CGGAGGAUCCAAGCGUUAUCCGGAAUCAUUGGGUUUAAAGGGUCCGUAGGCGGUUUAGUAAGUCAGUGGUGAAAGCCCAUCGCUCAACGGUGGAACGGCCAUUGAUACUGCUAGACUUGAAUUAUUAGGAAGUAACUAGAAUAUGUAGUGUAGCGGUGAAAUGCUUAGAGAUUACAUGGAAUACCAAUUGCGAAGGCAGGUUACUACUAAUGGAUUGACGCUGAUGGACGAAAGCGUGGGUAGCGAACAGGAUUAGAUACCCUGGUAGUCCACGCCGUAAACGAUGGAUACUAGCUGUUGGGAGCGAUCUCAGUGGCUAAGCGAAAGUGAUAAGUAUCCCACCUGGGGAUACGUUCGCAAGAAUG
rnacentral:rRNA from 1 species